rnacentral:lncRNA from 1 species
CCUCAACAAGCAUUUUUGCCCAAAGCGAGUAUUAACAACUUCCCUCCAGUUCUCCUUGUGUUCCUCUGUCGAGUGUUCUUAUUCAUUGCAUUUGUGAAAAAAGGAAUUCUCUGGGCCAGCACAAAGCAUCUGCUGCUUCUAUCCAGGCAAAGAAAGAUGGUGGCAUGGGGUUUUUAUUUACUGAAGGCUGGGACGAACGCAGAGCUAAGUGUGCAUUCCUGGUGCUCCUGGCUUUGUAGUUGUUACAGAUGCUGUUGUCCUGCUAGGAGCAGAAGCCCUUCACAGAAUGCAGAAAUCAAUGCCUGCGCCUCAGCCUUGCUCUUACGGGUUAGUAAAUGAAAAGGGUGUUUUAGAAGCACUAUGAACUCACCCUGAAGUUCUCAAGUAAUCAGGAACUGCCACUCUCCCCUUCUCUUCUACAAAGGAAAUGCAAAUACAUGAGUAGUUUCACUCCUGGGAAUCUCUUCACAGGACAUAAUUUAAAGGAAAGGAAAAGCUACACACAUGAAGUUAUCACAGCAGCAUUACCUGUAACAACAAAACAUCGGAAGGAUUUAAUGUCCAAUUAUGUGGGAAUAGCUAAGCUAUGGUAUAUCAAUUUGAUAGAAUAUUAUGCAGCAAUAAAACAAUGAUUAUGAUUAUAUAGCAAAAUGGAAAAUACCGUAAUAUUAAACACAAAAGAAGAAUAAAAAUGUGCUGGCUACAGUUUGUUGAAAAUAUAGUUUUGUACAAACAAGGGCUGGAAAAGUGAGAAUAGUGGGCUAUGCAUGAAUCUUUAAAAAUGAUUAUUUUACAUUUUCUUAUCACAAAUAAAAAUCAAAUGAGGAAUAAUUUUUAAAAACCUGUUGCUCAACAUUAAUUAAACUGCUGUGUGUGUGUCUGUGUGUAGUUUAAUGAUUUAUUGCAUGGAUUUAAAACCAAGCGUCCCUGGAGUCGACACUCAAAAUUUUCAUUGCUUGCUGGAUAAUUUUCUCUAAGCCUUU